rnacentral:misc_RNA from 1 species
UUUUUAAAGAUAACAGUCUCACUCUCCACAAAUGACGUUCAGCAAACAGCCACCAUCCAUCUGAACAGUAAUUUAGCGUGCAUGUCUGGAAAUGUCACUGGCCAUUCCGCAUACACCACUAUAAUACAAACAUGAUCUUCACCAAAUUCUCCCUCUUUAUCACUUCUUUUCCUAACCCCUUAACAGCCAUUCAUGGUAGAAUUGCUUGGGCUUAUUAGCACCCAGGCCCAACAACAGAUGAUUGGUCGUCCAUGUUAACUGCUGUAUCAGGUUCAGUAUCAGCUUUGGUUGCUUUAAUCUCUUCAUUGACUGGGAGUUUAAUCUUGGGUGAUAACUUCUUGACUUCCUCGGAUGUAUAUAUGAAAAUCUUCCUCACCAUGCUGCAGAACUCGUGCCAUGGGUCGUCCCCAACCAUCAUCAUGUCAUCUUCAUCAUCAGUAUAGACAACUUGCCAUUUCUUUGUUGAUCCACUGAGCUCACCUUCAAUGUCAAACAUAUCCUCUAGCUUCCUAAGCAAGUCCUCAUAAGACUCAAACCGUGUCAAAUCAACAGCUCUACCAACAGCAAUUCCCUGCAUGUGAACUUUUGUGCAGCUUCUGAUUUGACGGCUUUGCAACUCUUGAGGAGAUCUCAGGCAUGAUUUCUCAGGCUCACAACUUACUGAAGGGAUUUCAGAUCGAUUAACAUUUGAUGGCUCAGAAUGCCGAUCAGAUUCAGCAUCCAAAGACACAAUAGGGCAAUCAUCCACCAUUCCAGAUGUAACAGGUAAUGGUGAAGUUUGUUCCACAUUGGAGUUGUCAACAAGUUGAAUCCCGAAAAGCCUGUAACCAGUUCCUGUGCUUUGUUUUCUCUCUCCAGAAUCUUUGUUAAUGACUGGGACAACAGAAUCUGUAACACUUUCCACCCGGUUAGGCCAAUACAUUGAAUUGGGGGAAACGGCAGGCAAUGGACUAUUGCCACAAAAGCCAAGAGAUUUGGCCUUUGCAGUUGUAGAGAAAUUGGGAGAUGGAUAAAGAUCCCGUCCACGAUGAGAGUCACCAUAUGAUAAAGCAGGAGACUCAGUUGGGGGUUUCCACAUACCAAGUGCAGACAAAUCUG